AUUGAACGCUGGCGGCAUGCCUUACACAUGCAAGUCGAACGGUAACGGGCCUUCGGGUGCCGACGAGUGGCGAACGGGUGAGUAAUGUAUCGGAACGUACCUUUCAGUGGGGGAUAACGUAGCGAAAGUUACGCUAAUACCGCAUAUUCUGUGCGCAGGAAAGCAGGGGAUCGCAAGACCUUGCGCUGACUGAGCGGCCGAUAUCAGAUUAGGUAGUUGGUGAGGUAAAGGCUCACCAAGGCGACGAUCUGUAGCGGGUCUGAGAGGAUGGUCCGCCACACUGGAACUAGGACACGGUCCAGAGUCCUACGGGAGGCAGCAGUGUGGAAUUUUGGACAAUGGUGGCAACCCUGCUCCAGCCAUGCCGCGUGAGUGAAGAAGGCCUUCGGGUUGUAAAGCUCUUUCGGCCGGGAAGAAAUCGUAUCAGCUAAUACCUGGUGCGGAUGACGGUACCGGCAUAAGAAGCACCGGCUAACUACGUGCCAGCCGCCGCGGUAAAAC
rnacentral:rRNA from 1 species